AAAACACGGAUGAACGCUAGCGGCAGGCUUAAUACAUGCAAGUCGAACGGGAUUCGGAGUAGCAAUACUUUGAUGAGAGUGGCGCACGGGUGCGUAACGCGUAUGCAACCUACCUUUAACAGGGGAAUAGCCCCGAGAAAUCGGGAUUAAUACUCCGUAACAUUGCGGUGUGGCAUCACACUGCAAUUAAAGAUUUAUCGGUUAAAGAUGGGCAUGCGUGACAUUAGCUUGUUGGUGAGGUAACGGCUCACCAAGGCAACGAUGUCUAGGGGUCCUGAGAGGGUUAUCCCCCACACUGGUACUGAGACACGGACCAG
rnacentral:rRNA from 1 species